rnacentral:rRNA from 1 species
UGCAGCGCCGCGGUAAUACCGGCAGCCCGAGUGAUGGCCGAUCUUAUUGGGCCUACAGCGUCCGUAGCUGGCUGCGCAAGUCCGUCGGGAAAUCCACUCGCCCAACGAGUGGGCGUCCGACGGAAACUGCACGGCUUGGGACCGGAAGGCGCGAAGGGUACGUUCGGGGUAGGAGUGAAAGCCCAUGAUCCCGCACGGACCACCGAUGGCGAAAGCACUUCGAGAAAACGGAUCCGACAGUGAGGGACGAAAGCCAGGGUCUCCAACCGGAUUAGAAACCCGAGAGUCC